GGGCCCUUGACUCAGUGGCAGGGCUUUUGCUUUGGAUGCAGGACGUUCCAAGUUCAAUCCCUGGCAGCUCCA
rnacentral:tRNA from 1 species